rnacentral:piRNA from 1 species
UACAGACGGUCCGUAUGUUAAAAAUGUG